AUAAUGGGUCAGCGACUUAUAUUCUGUAGCAAGGUUAACCGAAUAGGGGAGCCGAAGGGAAACCGAGUCUUAACUGGGCGUUAAGUUGCAGGGUAUAGACCCGAAACCCGGUGAUCUAGCCAUGGGCAGGUUGAAGGUUGGGUAACACUAACUGGAGGACCGAACCGACUAAUGUUGAAAAAUUAGCGGAUGACUUGUGGCUGGGGGUGAAAGGCCAAUCAAACCGGGAGAUAGCUGGUUCUCCCCGAAAGCUAUUUAGGUAGCGCCUCGUGAAUUCAUCUCCGGGGGUAGAGCACUGUUUCGGCAAGGGGGUCAUCCCGACUUACCAACCCGAUGCAAACUGCGAAUACCGGAGAAUGUUAUCACGGGAGACACACGGCGGGUGCUAACGUCCGUCGUGAAGAGGGAAACAACCCAGACCGCCAGCUAAGGUCCCAAAGUCAUGGUUAAGUGGGAAACGAUGUGGGAAGGCCCAGACAGCCAGGAUGUUGGCUUAGAAGCAGCCAUCAUUUAAAGAAAGCGUAAUAGCUCACUGGUCGAGUCGGCCUGCGCGGAAGAUGUAACGGGGCUAAACCAUGCACCGAAGCUGCGGCAGCGACGCUUAUGC
rnacentral:rRNA from 1 species